AAUCCAUGAAAGGCAGGCAGUUUCCCGAACAUGACCAGGGCGUGGAAACCCAACAUUUCUUUUUCAGUAAAGUUUCCGAAGUAAUCCUGAGCUAAACCAAUUGGGAAAAAGAAGGGUGGGGUUGGGGAAAGCAAAGGUGAGAGUCAUAGAAUUGCAAAUCCAGCCAGUCUCCAGUUAGAUCCACUCUGAUCAGAAAAGCUUCUUAGGAUGGUUCCUGCAUUGUCACUUUUCCACCAACCCAGUCUUUUUGUAAUCUUGGGUGAUCUCCAGAGUCAGAGCUAGCGAAAAUCCAAAUGCCGCCGCCGCAGCUCCUCCAGAAUUCAGCCCAGUGCCUUCUGCAGCAAAGCCACUGGCUGCUAAAGGAACCCUGAGUCUGCUAUUCUUCGGCUCCUCGUACACAUCGGGGAGGGAGCCACGGAAUAGAGGCGGUGCCUCAACUCGGACUAGGGAAGGAAGAGGCAGGCUGGCCGGCCAGCCAACGGGCGUAUCAGCCUCACAUGACCAGCUGGACUCUGCAUGCAGUCAACUAAUGCAGGCAUCCAUCAAAGCAGAGCCUGCUUAAUGCAGGGAAAGGAAGGCUGGGGAAAAAGGAGCCCUGGGCCCUUCCCCAACCGCAGCCGGGCUAGGAGAGGAGCUCAAGGCAAAAUGCAAACUACAGCCCUGCACUCCUCCCUCCCCUCCGAGGACCAGACUGUCUCCAACAAGCAGCUGGCUGACAGCUACGGAAGAGUGUCUGCCAUACCUGGCAAUGUCAAGAAUGGAACACAAGGUAUUUUACACAGGCUAAGGAGAUUUCCCAUGAAAACGGCCGUUUAUACUGAAGUGUAUUUAACACACACAUGCAAGUCUGAAAGAGGUGAGCAAUGAUUUCUACUGGACCCGUGCAGAUGAAGACAAACAAGGCAAAUCUCAGUAAAUCAACUUAAAUUCCAGGAUUCCCCAAUAUAAAGGAGCACAGAGAACAACACAUUCUGCAGUUCAAUGCAG